CUUGGAUCACUUUAAAAUUCAAAUUGUUUUGCAAAAUUCAAAUUGUUUUGCAAAAUUUAAAGCCUUUUGCAUUUGAACCGCUUGAAGUUUCUCUUGCCUAAGCAAAAUGGAUAAGCGUCACAUUUUAAAAACAAGCCUUUUAUAAGAAGUUCUUUUAUAAGCAUGAUUUCUCAUCAUUAUAAAAACUGCUACCAACACUUAAAUUCAAUGGACCGAUAAAUCGGCAAAUAAACGGAUAAAAGCAAAUGGAUAGGUAAAUUGGUGGGCCUGGGAGGACUUGAACCUCCGACCUCACGCUUAUCAAGCGCGCGCUCUAACCAACUGAGCUACAAGCCCUCCGAGAUAAACCGGAAAACCUUCCCCAGCAUUAUCUAAAAAAGCAUUAUCUAAAAAAGCUUUAUCUCAUAAAAGCAUCAUUUCAAAAAACAAAGAGCUUUCCUUAAAGCUUUUGAUGAGAGCUUACUUGCGUAGACCGCCAGAAGGCUUGGGAUCAUCAUCUGAAGA
rnacentral:misc_RNA from 1 species